UGGGAAAAGGGUUCUCUAGCUGUUUGUGG
rnacentral:piRNA from 1 species